GAUGAACGCUGGCGGCGUGCCUAAUACAUGCAAGUCGAGCGAACGGACGAGAAGCUUGCUUCUCUGAUGUUAGCGGCGGACGGGUGAGUAACACGUGGAUAACCUACCUAUAAGACUGGGAUAACUUCGGGAAACCGGAGCUAAUACCGGAUAAUAUUUUGAACCGCAUGGUUCAAAAGUGAAAGACGGUCUUGCUGUCACUUAUAGAUGGAUCCGCGCUGCAUUAGCUAGUUGGUAAGGUAACGGCUUACCAAGGCAACGAUGCAUAGCCGACCUGAGAGGGUGAUCGGCCACACUGGAACUGAGACACGGUCCAGACUCCUACGGGAGGCAGCAGUAGGGAAUCUUCCGCAAAGGGCGAAAGCCUGACGGAGCAACGCCGCGUGAGUGAUGAAGUUCUUCGGAUCGUAAAACUCUGUUAUUAGGGAAGAACAUAUGUGUAAGUAACUGUGCACAUCUUGACGGUACCUAAUCAGAAAGCCACGGCUAACUACGUG
rnacentral:rRNA from 1 species